UACGCAGGUGGCAAGCGUUGUCCGGAUUUACUGGGCGUAAAGGGCGUGCAGGCGGUUUGUUAAGUCUAGGGUGAAAGCUCCCGGCUCAACUGGGAGAGGUCCUUGGAUACUGGCAGACUUGAGGAGGGUAGAGGAGAGUGGAAUUCCCGGUGUAGUGGUGAUAUGCGUAGAUAUCGGGAGGAACACCAGUGGCGAAGGCGGCUCUCUGGGCCCUACCUGACGCUGAGACGCGAAAGCGUGGGGAGCGAACCGG
rnacentral:rRNA from 1 species